rnacentral:misc_RNA from 1 species
UACGUAGGGGGCAAGCGUUGUCCGGAAUUAUUGGGCGUAAAGCGCGCGCAGGCGGCGGCUUAAGUUUGGUGUUUAAGCCCAGGGCUCAACCCUGGUACGCACUGAAAACUGGGUCGCUUGAGUGCAGGAGAGGAAAGUGGAAUUCCACGUGUAGCGGUGAAAUGCGUAGAGAUGUGGAGGAACACCAGUGGCGAAGGCGACUUUCUGGCCUGUAACUGACGCUGAGGCGCGAAAGCGUGGGGAGCAAACAGG